rnacentral:rRNA from 1 species
GAGUUUGAUCAUGGCUCAGAUUGAACGCUGGCGGUAUGCUUAACACAUGCAAGUCGAACGGUAACAGGCCUUCGGGCGCUGACGAGUGGCGGACGGGUGAGUAACGCGUAGGAAUCUGCCUCAUAGUGGGGGACAAACGUGGGGAAACUCACGCUAAUACCGCAUACGCCCUACGGGGGAAAGCGGGGGAUCUUCGGACCUCGCGCUAUGAGAUGAGCCGGCGUUAGAUUAGCUAGUUGGUAGGGUAAAGGCCUACCAAGGCGACGAUCUAUAGCUGGUCUGAGAGGACGAUCAGCCACACUGGGACUGAGACACGGCCCAGACUCCUACGGGAGGCAGCAGUGGGGAAUAUUGGACAAUGGGCGCAAGCCUGAUCCAGCAAUACCGCGUGUGUGAAGAAGGCCUUAGGGUUGUAAAGCACUUUCAAUUGGGAGGAAAACCUGCCGGUCAAUACCCGGCAGCUUGACAUUACCUUUAGAAGAAGCACCGGCUAACUCCGUG